AUGGACCUGGGCUUCCUGCGGUUCAAAAAUUCUUACUGCAGAUUAUCCCAACAACAGAUGAAGGUGCGAAGUGAAUCUGCCGAUAAACCCCACGAUCCCGCCUCAUACCGCCAGCCUCACAGUCUGGAUUAUGAGAAGAUUGGAUUGGACGGAGCAGGGACGACAUUGACCGUCACAGCUGAUUCCAUUUCCCCGGGGUCUCAGAUUCCUGUUCAACUAUCUACUGCUGACGAAACCGUCACUUUAAGCUGCGAAUAUACCGGGUUCUGUCCUUACACUCUACACUGGUAUCGGCAGUUCCCAGGAGAAGCACCGAUUUUCCUACUUCAGAGACACACUUCAGGAGAGCAGGAUACGGAAAUGGCAGCGGGAGGACGAAUUUCCGCGUCUCUUGAUCCUGGAAAGAAAAUCAGCCAGUUAACGAUCUCCACAAUACAGCAGAGCGACGCGGCUGUGUAUUACUGUGCACUGACUUCGCGCACAGCACACUGA